UAGGGAAUCUUCGGCAAUGGACGAAAGUCUGACCGAGCAACGCCGCGUGAGUGAAGAAGGUUUUCGGAUCGUAAAACUCUGUUGUUAGAGAAGAACAAGGACGUUAGUAACUGAAUGUCCCCUGACGGUAUCUAACCAGAAAGCCACGGCUAACUACGUGCCAGCAGCCGCGGUAAUACGUAGGUGGCAAGCGUUGUCCGGAUUUAUUGGGCGUAAAGCGAGCGCAGGCGGUUUCUUAAGUCUGAUGUGAAAGCCCCCGGCUCAACCGGGGAGGGUCAUUGGAAACUGGGGGACUUGAGUGCAGAAGAGGAGAGUGGAAUUCCAUGUGUAGCGGUGAAAUGCGUAGAUAUAUGGAGGAACACCAGUGGCGAAGGCAGCUCUCUGGUCUGUAACUGACGCUGAGGCUCGAAAGCGUGGGGAGCAAACAGG
rnacentral:rRNA from 1 species